rnacentral:rRNA from 1 species
UGCAAGUAGAACGCUGAAGAGAGGAACUUGCUCUUCUUGGAUGAGUUGCGAACGGGUGAGUAACGCGUAGGUAACCUGCCUUGUAGCGGGGGAUAACUAUUGGAAACGAUAGCUAAUACCGCAUAACAAUGGAUGACACAUGUCAUUUAUUUGAAAGGGGCAAUUGCUCCACUACAAGAUGGACCUGCGUUGUAUUAGCUAGUAGGUGAGGUAAUGGCUCACCUAGGCGACGAUACAUAGCCGACCUGAGAGGGUGAUCGGCCACACUGGGACUGAGACACGGCCCAGACUCCUACGGGAGGCAGCAGUAGGGAAUCUUCGGCAAUGGGGGCAACCCUGACCGAGCAACGCCGCGUGAGUGAAGAAGGUUUUCGGAUCGUAAAGCUCUGUUGUAAGUCAAGAACGGGUGUGAGAGUGGAAAGUUCACACUGUGACGGUAGCUUACCAGAAAGGGACGGCUAACUACGUGCCAGCAGCCGCGGUAAUACGUAGGUCCCGAGCGUUGUCCGGAUUUAUUGGGCGUAAAGCGAGCGCAGGCGGUUUGAUAAGUCUGAAGUUAAAGGGCUGUGGCUCAACCAUAGUUCGCUUUGGAAACUGUCAAACUUGAGUGCAGAAGGGGAGAGUGGAAUUCCAUGUGUAGCGGUGAAAUGCGUAGAUAUAUGGAGGAACACCGGUGGCGAAAGCGGCUCUCUGGUCUGUAACUGACGCUGAGGCUCGAAAGCGUGGGGAGCGAACAGGAUUAGAUACCCUGGUAGUCCACGCCGUAAACGAUGAGUGCUAGGUGUUGGAUCCUUUCCGGGAUUCAGUGCCGCAGCUAACGCAUUAAGCACUCCGCCUGGGGAGUACGACCGCAAGGUUGAAACUCAAAGGAAUUGACGGGGGCCCGCACAAGCGGUGGAGCAUGUGGUUUAAUUCGAAGCAACGCGAAGAACCUUACCAGGUCUUGACAUCCCGAUGCUAUUUCUAGAGAUAGAAAGUUACUUCGGUACAUCGGUGACAGGUGGUGCAUGGUUGUCGUCAGCUCGUGUCGUGAGAUGUUGGGUUAAGUCCCGCAACGAGCGCAACCCCUAUUGUUAGUUGCCAUCAUUCAGUUGGGCACUCUAGCGAGACUGCCGGUAAUAAACCGGAGGAAGGUGGGGAUGACGUCAAAUCAUCAUGCCCCUUAUGACCUGGGCUACACACGUGCUACAAUGGUUGGUACAACGAGUUGCGAGUCGGUGACGGCGAGCUAAUCUCUUAAAGCCAAUCUCAGUUCGGAUUGUAGGCUGCAACUCGCCUACAUGAAGUCGGAAUCGCUAGUAAUCGCGGAUCAGCACGCCGCGGUGAAUACGUUCCCGGGCCUUGUACACACCGCCCGUCACACCACGAGAGUUUGUAACACCCGAAGUCGGAGAGGUAAC